ACCCCGCCCGCAUCAACUCCAACCCAUUUCUCCAGGGCUGGGCCCCAUGUCCCUGUCACCCCACAGCCCCCUCCAUCCCCAGUGUGUGAGUCCCUCAUCUCCACUCUCUGCUCCCCCCAACCUGCCAGAGUCCCCUUUUCAACCCCCGUGGGGCCCUCCAACCUGCCCCACCUGUCCUGUCUGGGGUCUCUAAAUUCCCCAUUCCCACAGUGCACCUUGGUAACCCUAACCUACUCUACCCCUAAUCCCCCUAGUCCCUUACCUUGGGUCCUUCUGGACACCCAACCCCACAGUCCGACCCCCCACAUAUAUCCCAGUCACUCAUUCACACAAUGAGCCAGUCCCUCAGGGCCCCCACUGCCCACCAAACUUCUCCAUCCGUCAACCCAGGGAAGCGGGGGCAAGCUCCCAGUUUGGCUGGGCUUGGUGUGAGUGUGCGUGCUGGGCUCACAAAGGCCUUUUGCUCCCUUGGGGUGGGGUGUGGUUUUUGGCCAAAGGUGACACAGUUUGGUAGCCCUGUGGAUGCCAUGUGGUGUCUGGAAUGGGGCGUGUGUGUUCCCAUGAUGCCCCUUGCUCUCUGCCUGCAGAGCUGAGAACAGACAGGUCUGAGGAGCAGAGCAGGAGUUCUGGGAAGGAGAAGAGCAAUAUGAAGAUGGAGUCUAAGAUGAGACCAGCAAUGGAAAACAAGU